AGAGCGCGAGCUGCAUGAGACGCCUGCAUGACAUGAGGAGACUGCAUCAUCUCGGCCAGGACAGAUACCCAGCCUGAAGGUGUUAUACAGGGAGUCUCUGCGGAGCUGAUAAACCCUCUGGAGGAGCUGUAGGCCCCCGUUGGAAACUAUGUGGUCACAGUGGCUCUGGACCUGCAGACAAGAGAAACGUGUUUCAAGACCACAGGCGACAGUUUUGCCAUUAGCUGCACCAGCAGUCCUGGGUCUGAAACGGGUGUUGAAGGCAAAACCACAGCUACAAUUGAUGGUGGCAAUGCUCAUUGUUUUAAUCCACUCCAAGCCAGAUCUACAAGGUCAUCAGUACAGUCAGAGGGAAGGAUGCAAGUGGUCUUAUUGCAAAGGCUCUUCUCUCCUCUGCUGAAUGUGUUUGGUCCUGAAGGGGCUCUGGACGAUAGAGGUCACCCCGAGCCGAGCCUGCGUAAAAAUGUAGGAAUCAGCAGUCCUUCCCUGCUGCAGAGGAGCCGGCCAAUCCAACUAAAUCCCGCAAUCUUUCAUCGCUCUGGCAAGUCAAACAACUUAACCACAGAAUGGUUUGAUUCAUAUGUACAUUUAUGAGGAUGAAAUGCUGAUUUUAAACUACCAAGGUAAUUGCCUUUGCCCUUGGCUUUGACAGUUGUGAUUAGGCAAGCCUGUUUGAUUUUAUUUGGAUGGUAUAUAUUUAUUUUUGUUGUCAUUAUGGCAUAAAUUAUUGGCCAUAACCUGUCAUUUUUUUCAACAAUAUGAAGACACUUGGGUAUAAAAGUUAUUUUGUGGAGGGCUUUGCCAGUAACACCCUAUUAUCACAGUAGUUAGUUUGCUUUUGGGUAUGAGAGGUUUUCAUGUUCAACAAUUCCUAAAAUCUCAAUCAUUACCCCUCCUCCACCCAAUUUUGGCUAGCUGAGGGUUUUUUCCCCUAGUAAACAACAUGUUUACUCAGUCACUGCUGACAAACAGCACAGAGCAGAGCUUCAGUAGGGUGCAUAGACAAUACAAAAAACUAGAAAUCUGAAUUGAAUAGAAAUAGAUUUUAGAGAGUUGUUCCUGUUGUCCCACAGAUCCAGAUCCAUAAAAUUACCCUCAUUCACCUGCUCCAGCUGCCACCAUCUUACUAACAUGAAGCCAAUCCAUAAAUUAAACUUAGAUGCAGAUGGCACAAAAAUGUACUCACAACUGACUGAAUUCAAUGUGAGUUACAUCUUUGCAUUCAGUGUUGUACACAGAAUUGAGCUGAGGAUCUGCAAUCAAUGAUAAUUUAUCAACUUUCAAUUUUACAUGCCCACCCCUCUGUCUCUUCUCUUUAUUGAAUGACAGUGUGUCCAGAGCAGCAUAGCUCCCCUCUCAGCUCCUCUAAGAGCUCUCCUGAGAUGAUGAUGAAAGGACUUGUCUAAUGGGAUUACACCUCGCGAUAAGUGCUCAGAGCCGAGUGGUUCAUCACACCUCCCUCCUGCAUUUUAAAGAGUGGCAUUGAUCUGCUGUGGUGUAGCUGUAUCUUGGAUGUAGAGUUUUAGACAUAUGUUUUAUUGGCGUGGCGCGUUUUGAUUAUUGAUUGUCUGUAUGAUUACUCUUUUGUUUCUAGCUGCAAAAUUUGAAUGUAUUGCGAGAAAUCAUUUUUAAGGAGAAAUCCACCAGGUUUAAAAUCCCAAUUUGUCAUUUCUAAGAUAUAAUACAAGACUUGAUUUGUGAAAUGAAGCAAAUCCCCCUUUAACCUGAGCAGCAGAGAUGCAGACUAUAGUGAUGAUGUCAUGAGAUAAAUCCUGGAGGUGCUCAAAAGGCAGUGAAUAAUAGAGCAACACACAGGACUCUGUAACAACAGCCAUGGUGACUACACUCAGAUAAAACUCUUUUUUACUUCAUAUUGUAAUACUUGAUUGUCAUUAGUUCUGUACAUUAAUUGUGUCAUUACAGGAUUCAUAAACAUCAAAUUCUAAUAAAAAGGAAACUGUAAUAACAAAACACAAAAAAGUGUAAGAAAGAAACAUGUCUUUAAAAUAUAUAAUAAGCCCAGUGAGUAUCCAACAAGGAAAAUAUAUGCAUACAUAUACAUACUUAUGCACACAUAUAGACUGGUAUUAAAAUAUGUUGUACAAUAUUUAUUUUAAUUACUAUUAUUACUACUACUAUUACUAUUACUAUUAUUCUAUGAAUAGCCGCCUGGCUGCAGUAAUACA